GAUGAACGCUGGCGGCGUGCCUAAUACAUGCAAGUCGAGCGAACAGAUGAGAAGCUUGCUUCUCUGACGUUAGCGGCGGACGGGUGAGUAACACGUGGGUAACCUACCUAUAAGACUGGGAUAACUCCGGGAAACCGGGGCUAAUACCGGAUAAUAUUUUGAACCGCAUGGUUCAAUAGUGAAAGACGGUUUCGGCUGUCACUUAUAGAUGGACCCGCGCCGUAUUAGCUAGUUGGUAAGGUAACGGCUUACCAAGGCGACGAUAUGUAGCCGACAUGUGAGGGUGAUGGGCCGCACUGGAACUGAGACACGGUCCAGAAUCCUACGGGAGGCGGCAGUAGGGAAUCUUCCGCAAUGGGCGAAAGCCUGACGGAGCGACGCCGCGUGAGUGAUGAAGGUCUUCGGAUCGUAAAACUCUGUUGUUAGGGAAGAACAAAUUUGUUAGUAACUGAACAAGUCUUGACGGUACCUAACCAGAAAGCCACGGCUAACUACGUGCCAGCAGCCGCCGCGG
rnacentral:rRNA from 1 species